rnacentral:rRNA from 1 species
CCUACGGGAGGCAGCAGUGAGGAAUAUUGGUCAAUGGCCGGAAGGCUGAACCAGCCAUGCCGCGUGAAGGUCAGUGCCCUAUGGGCGUUAAACUUCUUUUGUGCGGGAGCAAUAAUGGUCACGUGUGGCCAGACGAGAGUACCGUACGUAUAAGCAUCGGCUAACUCCGUGCCAGCAGCCGCGGUAAUACGGGGGAUGCAAGCGUUAUCCGGAUUUAUUGGGUUUAAAGGGUGCGUAGGCUGUGAGGUAAGUCAGUGGUGAAAUGCCCCCGCUCAACGGGGUGAAGUGCCAUUGAUACUGCCUGGCUGGAAUGCGGAUGCCGUGGGAGGAAUGUGUGGUGUAGCGGUGAAAUGCAUAGAUAUCACACAGAACACCGAUUGCGAAGGCAUCUCACGAAUCCGCGAUUGACGCUGAUGCACGAAAGCGUGGGUAUCAAACAGGAUUAGAUACCCUUGUAGUC